GCCGCGUGAGUGAAGAAGGCCUUCGGGUUGUAAAGCUCUUNUUGUCAGGGAAGAAACGGUGGUUCCUAAUACGGACUACUAAUGACGGUACCUGAAGAAUAAGCACCGGCUAACUACGUGCCAGCAGCCGCGGUAAUACGUAGGGUGCAAGCGUUAAUCGGAAUUACUGGGCGUAAAGCGUGCGCAGGCGGUUAUAUAAGUCAGAUGUGAAAUCCCCGGGCUCAACCUGGGAACUGCAUUUGAGACUGUAUGGCUAGAGUGUGUCAGAGGGGGGUAGAAUUCCACGUGUAGCAGUGAAAUGCGUAGAUAUGUGGAGGAAUACCGAUGGCGAAGGCAGCCCCCUGGGAUAACACUGACGCUCAUGCACGAAAGCGUGGGGAGCAAACAGGAUUAGAUACCCUGGUAGUCCACGCCCUAAACGAUGUCUACUAGUUGUUGGGUCUUAAUUGACUUAGUAACGCAGCUAACG
rnacentral:rRNA from 1 species